rnacentral:rRNA from 1 species
ACGGGAGGCAGCAGUGGGGAAUAUUGGGCAAUGGGCGAAAGCCUGACCCAGCAACGCCGCGUGAAGGAAGAAGGUCUUCGGAUUGUAAACUUCUUUUAUGGGGGACGAACAAAUGACGGUACCUCAUGAAUAAGCCACGGCUAACUACGUGCCAGCAGCCGCGGUAAUACGUAGGUGGCAAGCGUUAUCCGGAUUUACUGGGUGUAAAGGGCGCGUAGGCGGGAAGGCAAGUCAGAUGUGAAAUCCAUGAGCUCAACUCAUGAACUGCAUUUGAAACUGUACCUCUUGAGUGCUGGAGAGGUAGAUGGAAUUCCUUGUGUAGCGGUGAAAUGCGUAGAUAUAAGGAAGAACACCAGUGGCGAAGGCGAUCUACUGGACAGUAACUGACGCUGAGGCGCGAAAGCGUGGGGAGCAAACAGGAUUAGAUACCCUAGUA